GACCCCAAACCCCCGAAAGAUCAAGGAGGCAUCGAGCCCCUUCGCCAUGGAGGAUGGAUGUCUUUGCUGGUUUGAUCUGCACACCAAAGAUGUGGUUUUGACCAUUGAGGCAGCAAAUAAACAAUCUCUUCAAUGUGCUUUAAACCAGGAAAUGAAGAUUUUGUGUAUCUUUCUGCUGGAAAUGAAAUAUUCUCCUUUGAUGUUCAUAUGGGACCUCAAUCGAAGCCAUUAGAGACGUAUAGGUACAAUAGAGAUGAAAUCAAUCAGAUGACAGAGGGGAUGUUAAGGUAUUGAAGAUGUUGGAAAUGUAUGAGCAUAAAUGCUGAAGACUAUUGCACGUGUACCUAUCAUUUCGUAACAAAUAUGAAGCAUCAAGUGCUCCAGAUUUCAGUAUUGGCUCUCUUGAGUUUGUCACAUGAAAAUGAAAGGGUGUGCAAACCUCCUGACAUUGUAGUGCUGCUACAAGUAAAUUUGAAUACACAAUGAUUUGACUACACAAGUUUAUU